UUCGUCCCGAGUUAUCCAACUCCCAACCCCUGUGAAUUAUACCUUUAAUUGUUGCUUCGGCGGGACUUCGCGCCCGCCGGGGACCCAAACCUUCUGAAUUUUUUAAUAAGUAUCUUCUGAGUGGUUAAAAAUGAAUCAAAACUUUCAACAACGGAUCUCUUGGUUCUGGCAUCGAUGAAGAACGCAGCGAAAUGCGAUAAGUAAUGUGAAUUGCAGAAUUCAGUGAAUCAUCGAAUCUUUGAACGCACAUUGCGCCCGUCAGUAUUCUGGCGGGCAUGCCUGUUCGAGCGUCAUUACGCCCCUCAAGUCCCCUGUGGACUUGGUGUUGGGGAUCCGGCCGAGGCUGGUUUACCAGCACAGCCGUCCCUUAAAUUAAUUGGCGGUCUCGCCGUGGCCCUCCUCUGCGCAGUAGUAAAGCACUCGCAACAGGAGCCCGGCGCGGUCCACUGCCGUAAAACCCCCCAACUUUAUAGACCUACU
rnacentral:rRNA from 1 species